rnacentral:tRNA from 1 species
GCCUUAUAGUCAAUAAUGAUACUAAAUUGCAAAUUUAGAGGAGUUAAUUUAACUAAGGCU